CGGGACGGGGUGGAGUAAUGUCUGGGAAACUGCCCGAUGGAGGGGGGUAACUACUGGAAACGGUAGCUAAUACCGCAUAACGUCGCAAGACCAAAGAGGGGGACCUUCGGGCCUCUUGCCAUCGGAUGUGCCCAGAUGGGAUUAGCUAGUAGGUGGGGUAAUGGCUCACCUAGGCGACGAUCCCUAGCUGGUCUGAGAGGAUGACCAGCCACACUGGAACUGAGACACGGUCCAG
rnacentral:rRNA from 1 species